GAUGAACGCUAGCUACAGGCUUAACACACGCAAGUCGAGGGGUAACGAGAGGGAAGCUUGCUUUCCUUGUCGACGACCGGCGCACGGGUGAGUAACGCGUAUCCAACCUGCCCCCAACUAGGGAAUAACCUUGCGAAAGUAAAACUAAUACCCUAUAAUUUCCUCAGAUGUCAUCUGACGAGGAAUAAAGAUUUAUCGGUUGUGGAUGGGGAUGCGUCUGAUUAGCUUGUUGGCGGGGUAACGGCCCACCAAGGCAACGAUCAGUAGGGGUUCUGAGAGGAAGGUCCCCCACAUUGGAACUGAGACACGGUCCAAACUCCUACGGGAGGCAGCAGUGAGGAAUAUUGGUCAAUGGGCGGAAGCUUGAACCAGCCAAGUAGCGUGCAGGAUGACGGCCCUAUGGGUUGUAAACUGCUUUUAUACAGGAAUAAAGUUAGCCACGUGUGGUUAUUUGUAGGUACUGUAUGAAUAAGGACCGGCUAAUUCCGUGCCAGCCGCCGCGGUAA
rnacentral:rRNA from 1 species